AGAAAGUGGCAUCCAAAAUCUUAUAGGGCUCAAGAUAUUACUUAUGAUCUUCUGAAGAACAUUACGUCAAUUGACCUGAGUAUACAUGUGACAAGCGAUGACAGGAAGGAGGUGCAGGUACAGCCAUGCUUAUGGAAUGGUAUCCAACGACCGUGCUACUUAUUUGCGAGGAAAUUCUACCCAGGAGCUAUUGAUAACCUCUUGCAGCUUUUCU
rnacentral:misc_RNA from 1 species